rnacentral:lncRNA from 1 species
UUAUUCUGUCACAAAGUUUCAUUUUGCCCUAUAUGUUUUCAGAGUAGGUCUAAAUUUUUCCCUAUGUAAGUCCUUCAAGUAUUGAAAUGUGAUUAUCUUUAUCUCUUUUUUAUUUCUCUAUUUCUUUUGUCAUUUUUUACUAUAGGACUAUUUUUUCACCCUUUCAAUUCCAUGUAGUCUCCAAGAGUACAUCUUGAUCUCUUAAUUAUUUUCAUAUGUGUUAAUUAGAAUCUAACCACAUCCAGAUAACCAUGAUGGUGUGAUCAAUCACGUAGAGCCAGACAUCCUGGAAUUCAAAGUCAAGUGGGCCUACAGUUCAGUUCAGUAGCUCAGUCAUGUCCGACUGUUGGAAACCCCAUGAAUUGCAGCAUGCCAGGCCUCCCUGUCCAUCACCAACUCCCGAAAGUUCACUCAAGCUCAUGUGCAUCAAGUUGGUGAUGCCAUCCAGCCAACUCAUCCUCUGUCAUCCCCUUCUCCUCCUGCCCCCAAUCCCUCCCAGCCACAGAGUCUUUUCCAGUGAGUCAACUCUUUGCAUGAGGUGGCCAAAGUACUGGAGUUUCAGCUUUAGCAUCAUUCCUUCCAAAGAACACCCAGGACUGAUCUCCUUUAGAAUGGACUGGUUGGAUCUCCUUGCAGUCCAAGGGACUCUCAAGAGUCUUCUCCAACACCACAGUUCAAAAGCAUCAAUUCUUCGGUGCUCAGCUUUCUUCACAGUCCAACUCUCACAUCCAUACAUGACCACUGGAAAAACCAUAGCCUUGACUAGAUGGACCUUUGUUGGCAAAGUAAUGUCUCUGCUUUUGAAUAUGCUAUCUAGGUUGGUCAUAACUUUUCUUCCAAGGAGUAAGCGUCUUUUAAUUUCAUGGCUGUAG